UCUUUCGCGCAGCGGCGGUACCAUAGCCAAUGAGAUUUAUCCGAGGCGUGUUUUUUGCUAGUUGAAAAAUUAUACCCAAUAACAGAAUAACAGCUAUGUCUAAUGACAGGACUUGAGGCACUUA
rnacentral:snRNA from 1 species